UGAGUCAAGCGGAAUCGCUCACAAGCUCGUUCACACACUUCACAGCCCAGCGCACGAUACAAGAUGUUAUGUCUCCGACAAUUUUAUUCAACUCGAUCUUCAAAUAAUAUACCAAUAGAGAUGAACCAUUCAUCCAGAACAGCACGUGAUCACGAGCAAGGUAUAGAGCUCCAGAUGUCUUAAGAAGAUGUUAGCAGAUAAGAGGACCAGAGCAAGAUCUCAGCCUCAUGAAACCCAGCUUGUGACACCUGUCUGAGACAGACAUCCUCUAUGCUCCCGAGUGUGGACAAUAUACUAUCACUGGAUUACCAUAUGUAUCAGACUAAAACUGAGCCUACUGUUGAUACAACCUGUGCUUCCCCUACGGACAAUAACACAGUCACAACCAGGCUCAAAAACAAUGACCUCAACACAGAGAACCCCAUCACUGACACACAUUUGAAUCCUAACUCUGACACAGACACUAUGGCUGUUCCAGGUUCAGAUAUGAGAGUUACCAAAGAGGCUGAUCCCAAUGCAGUCAAAAGACAGCGGACCAGACAGGAAGAUGAGGAGUCGUGCCCGCCUUCUAGUAUGCCGCCGGGCUGGGUGAGAGUAGUGAGACGGAGGAAAAGUGGGAAGACUGCAGGCAAAAUGGACAUCUAUAUAACAAGUCCCCAGGGACAGAGGUUCCGGUCCAGGGCGUCUCUUCAAGCUUUCCUUCUCAGAGAUACAGGAGGGGAUCUACAGAUAGAUGACUUUGACUUCACCAAAGCCAAGAGUGGCAGUGUAGCUGUGACUCCGCUGCCAAGCCAGGAGAGACAGAGGAAAGUUAAUCAGAAACACACACGUCAUACCUCAGAGGCCAAUAUCAAAGAAGACCGGCAGAACACAGAGGAGUAUAUGGAAAAGGGUAGAAUAUUAAGCCUGCCUCCAAAUAACACAAAAAUAGCCAAUUCCGCAAAAUCCUGCAAGCAGAGGACCAGACCCAGAGACAAGAGAACGAUAAUAACUCAUCUGAAGCCUGACAUGCCUCACCUGGCAAGGGGCAAUCACAGAACGGCAGCUGGGAGAGGCACAGAAACGGGCCAACCAUCAGACACAAAUGAAGACAUCAAAGAGACAAACAUACAAGCCUCUGUGAGAAGGGGUGAGGAUGAUGAGACUGAGAGGCGUCUGAAGGUUGUGGCGGUAGUUGACGAUGUCAUACUGGAGAAGAGCCCCCAGAGGAGGCCGGGGCUGCUGAGAGAAAAGCUGCUCAGGCUGGCCCCGCCCACUGAUCUACAAGAUGCUCUCAUUGGUCGAGAGGAACAGCUUCCUGUGUCACUGUUACUUGUCCCAGUCCUUAGGGUGCAGUCUGCUUCUGAGAGCGAGGGGGAGGCUGAGUCUGAGGGUGUGGGAGUGGGAGUGGGGGAGACUGAGGGAGUGGAGAAUAUAGAGGCAGAGGUGCAUGACGAAGAGCUGCCAUCUCCCCAGACCACUGGAGAGCGCUGUACACCACUGAAAGAUUCCCAGAGCAAACUGUUAGGAGAGAAACGGAAGACCAGUCCUUAUUUCAGCCGGAAGUCAAUGAGAGAUGGUCUAAGCCCCCCCAGGAGGAAAGCCUUAAGGAAGUGGACCCCUCCUCGCUCCCCCUUCCACCUGGUGCAGGAGACCCUUUUCCACGACCCUUGGAAACUCCUGGUAGCCACCGUGUUCCUCAACAAAACCAGCGGUAAAAUGGCCAUCCCGGUGUUGUGGCAGUUCUUUAAGCUUUACCCAUCAGCGGAGGAGACCAGGGGGGCAGAGUGGAAGCCCCUGUCUGUGCUGCUGAGAUCUUUGGGCCUGUAUGAACUGCGAGCCAAAAUCAUCAUCAGGUUCUCUGAUGAAUACCUGACCAAGCAGUGGCGCUACCCUAUAGAGCUGCAUGGGAUUGGGAAGUAUGGCAAUGACUCCUACAGGAUCUUCUGUGUAGAGGAGUGGAGACAGGUUGAACCCCAGGACCACAUGCUGAACAAGUACCAUGCUUGGCUGUGGGAGAACCAUGAGAGGUUGGGAAUCUGAACCAUGAGGAACUGCGAUGUCACAACCUGUUUUAUCAGUGGAAGAAUGUUCUAGUUCUUAAAUCAUUAGGCUUAUAACCUGACAUAUCGGUAUCUCUCUUGGUUAACAAUUCUUACUCAACACGAUUCUAUUAAAGAAAUUGGUUUAUCAUGUUUUAAAAGCCUAAUGACUCAUUUACAUUGAAUUGGACUUUGAUGUUGUGCCUCUGGAAAAGCAACAGAUAAACUGUGUCCCUUUUGUCUAGUGGAGAUUGGUGUUCCUUUUUGCGUGUAUUGAAUCGUCUCCAUCUGUCUAGCUGUGUAGCCAUGCUCUGACAAUAGCUCGCCCAGCCCUAUUUCACAUGCUAAUUCAUUUCUUUAGGAGAGCACCAGUGCAUUUAGCUACGCCGCUAGGCUCCAGCUUUAUUCUCUGUCUGCACACGAGUAACCUGAUUCCCAGGGCAACCGUUGCCACCGCAAAACACCCAAGUGAUUGCAUUUGUUUGUACUAUUUCUAUUUGAAUCCAAGUCUUCAUAGUCAUUAAAGUAAAUAUUUGACAAGGAAGUAGUUUGCAUGUAAUUAAUUCAACUUAACUGUUAUGAAAAAUAGCUUUACUGUUUUGACAGUGUCAGUAGUAAGAAGAAAGCUUAGUGUAAAAGUUAAGACAGAGCCUUUAGAAGUUUUUCAAUGCACAAGGACCGGACUCCACUGCUGGGGAAACACAAGGCACAGCCCUGUCUACGGAAUGAAACUUCCUGCUGUUUGCUUGAAUUCCACAUCUCUGGCUAUUCCUCGAUCCACACCUGUCCGCCAAAGUCGCUACCUUAUGGUCACUCCCCUGACAUU